rnacentral:lncRNA from 1 species
UUUUAAAGGAAAUAUUAGGUUAAAAAUUCGGUAAAUAAAAAAGAUUAGGUAAAUAAAAGCACGGGUGGUACAGGAAUAUGGCAAAAACCGAGAGAUUGGUAUGAAAAUGACUGAUGCUGGAAAACCCUCCCUGACCUACCAAGACACCCCUAACAACUAGAAGACCUUCCUCACAGGGAGCUGAAUUUGCCCCAGAUAGCUUCCACCGUCUAAGCUCUGUGUGUUUCUUGGGAGGCAGGGCACAGGUCUGGUCUUCCAUAGGCAGUUUCUUCAAAUACUCAAAGCCCGAAGAGGCCAUGAAAUCCCUCCCCUUUCCCAUACUCAGCCUUUCCAGCUCCUCUGGCAGUCUGCAGCAUGCCAGAUGACCAAACCCUCUCUCCAUUGUCCCUGCCCCACGUUAAUGUUUGACCAGAACAGACUAUCAUCCUACUUUCGGGUUGUACCAGUCAAAUUGUGGGGAUGGAGGCAGCUCCCGCCACCUUAGCAUCCAGGUCACAGCAAAGUUCAAGGAACUUAUGGUAAAGAUCAAUCACACUUAUGGCACUGCCAACAGAAGCACAUGCUUGUGGAAAAUAGCGUAAAAGAAUUUUAAGGAGGAGAGCUGGGCUCUGAAUUACACCGGAGGCAGAGCGUCUGGACAGUUUUCAUCAGAAGCCACGUCCUAGAGGUAGCGAGCUGUAAACAGUCGUUAAAAGCAACGGAGGAAUGUGUUAGGGUGGGCCCAGGAAGGUGUCAGGCCACGGCGGGCACGUGAGGGAAUGGGCACAGCCUUCAUUGUAGGCACAGAAGCUGGAGCCAGCGGGAGGAGGCAAGCGGGCAACCGAACAGAAUGAUGAGAAAAACCGAAGCUCAGGGAACAUUUCCAAGACCAAGAGCUGAGAACGCUGCGGAGCUGAAAUUUAAAUCCAGUUUGUCAGACCCCCCCAAUCCGACAUUGUCCCCUCGUCCUGCCAUGGCCCAUAUCCCAGGAGGACCUGUCACCAUCCUCCACCUUGGUGAGACAUUGCCCAAGUUAAUGGGCCCAACAAUAGGGUCAGACUACAUUGCUGCUCCAUUUCCAAGAAAUUCUCCACGUGCAACAUCACAUUUCCUGUAACUCCAGUGCCUCAGGUCUCGACUCAAAGGUCACCUCUUCAGAGAGGCCCCUCCUAAUGAACUUCCUAAGCCCAGGCUAUCCUAUGGAUGCACUCCUCCCACCAUCUGCUCUCCCAAGCUCUGCUGAAACCCCCCUGCCUAGAACAAUUUGCUUCGUAGCUGACUUUCCAUAAACAUUCAUACAAUGGAUACAGAAAUGACACAGAGGUCAGCAUCAGAACCCAGGAUCCCCCAAAGCCCUGUUUCUCUCUUUCACAGCCUCUCUCUACCUUAUUCCUAUCACCAAGGGAUUCUUCUCUCUUUCCCUCUUUCUACUAUUUGUUAGAAUGGAAAGCACUGGGCCGGUAAAGCUGUCACUCAGGAUAUGAUUUUUUCUCUGCCACUUUCUGGCUGUGUGCUUUUCUUAAAUCAUGGAACUGCAACUGAAAACGCAUGGAUGACAACACAAGGAUUAUUUUAAAGAUUAAAUGAAAUAACUAGGAUGACUGGGCCUGGCAUAUAUUAAGCAUCAAUUAACAUUAAUUGCUUUGCAUCCUUCUCUUUGUUUCUCUCCUCUCCCAUUGUUCCUUCCUUAUAAAUUAAUUCCCUGCCUUUCUCACAAUCUUUACUCCCUACUCAUAAAGCUUCUGCCAGGGUUGUCAGCAGGAUUUAUGUACUUGAAUUGAACUGAGUUAGGUAGGCAUGAAUGAAAGGCAAGUUAUCUCUUUCUAGGGGGAGAAAAAUUUAAGGCAGAGUGAUGUGAGAAGUGUCGACAAGACCCAGGAAAGCCCAGGGAGAGGGGCUGGGGCUAAGGCGUCUGCCCGCUUGGCAGCAGCUGUGAUGUUCGGAGUACGUGUUCAGACCAGCAGUCCCUGAGAUGCUAUUCCACUUAUUCUGGAGACCACUCUGCUCUUAGCCCCGCUGGGCAGGUAGAUUUGGAAAUGUUUAUUGCAUGAGAUGUGGGAUGGAAGAAAGAAACCUGAAUUGGGAAUGAAGAGGCUUGUUCCACCUUCCCUCAAUCCUGCCAGUAGCCAGCUACAGAGCUUAGGAAAAGUCUGUUUACCUCCCUGGACCUCAGCCUACCCUCUGACAAUUAAAGGGAGAUCACAGUUUUGAAGGCAUCUACCAGCUCUGACGCGCUCUGGCUAAACCAGACCAAAAAUUUUUUUUACAGCCAUUUUUGAAAAGGGAGUGAGAGAAGAGAACUGCAGAAGCUUAAAGAAGCACCAUUUGCAAAGUUUUUUUUUGUUCUGUUUCCAACAAUCUUACUUAUUCGCAGCACAGAUUCUGUUAGGCUUAGACUUGUGUUUCGGUGGCACUGGAUUGAUAGACUCAUACUAAUUGGUGUGGGUGUCUCAAUUUUCUCCGUCCAACUUUGCUGGGGUCUCGCCUUCUCUCUAUGGAAGCUCUUCUCAGGCUCACAAGAGCUGAGAUUUCUCAGAGGCGCCUGUAGAUGGAUUUGCCUUUUUUCUGCUAUAUCCAUCUGAAGCCACAGCAACUCUCUCUGAGCCAAAACCACUCACUAAUUAAUACAUUUCACAGGGUGAAUGAAGCACUGGCACGACCAGCAGCUUGGGGCAGCUCCCAAAGCCAUGGCCUUGCCCAGUGCCCAGAAAGUCCUGCCUGGAGACGGCCAGUGCCAGUUUCCUCCAUGCCAGCACCUCACCCUUCUCAUUUGAACCCAGAAAUGUGUUGACUUCCAGUGCCCCCUACCACCCUAGCUGUGUCAUUUUCUCCUUCACCUGUUUGCAUUUCCAAGGAAGCACAAGUCACAGUCAUAGGGGCUCGUGAUCUAUUUUUUAUUCUCCCCUUUUCUGGGCAGAAUGAUGGAUCAACUCUGGAAAACCUAUUAGGAAAGGGCUGGGCCAUCCUGCGUUUCCGCCAGGCCUGUCCAGGUGACUUUGAGUCAACCCACUGAGAGCUACUUGGCCACAGGCCAUCUCUGUGGGGCACCAUGUUUAUUUGAACCACUGACCCUGGCCCUAGAAGAAAAGAUGAAGACUUAGUGAUACCCCUUCUCCCCAUCUAUCCCCACCAGGGGCUUUUUGGAGUGUCUUUAAUUUACAGUCUGUUGGAAAGCACUCAGAAUCACUCUACCCUACACUCAAGGCAGGACCCUUCAUCAUCCAUCUGCGCCAGGCCAGCCUGCAGGCAUAUAUCCCUGAACUUCCCAGUGAGGUUCUGAAAGAACUGGGAAACUGAGGAAGAGAUUGGAAAUAGAGGAGGCCCCAGUGAUGGCUGUUUGUAUCAAUCAUCACAUUGAUUUGCUUAGGGAAGUCUUAUUCUAACAUUACACUGGUUGGUGAUCAGGCCUCCAGGCCCACUGGACUCCUAAGAUAAGGCUCCAGCUCCACAGAGUUGGAAGACAAAAUUGUCCGCUCCCUCCUUGCAUUCACCCAGCCCGGGGUCUUAUCUGGCAGAUGAUUGCUUGUUGCUCCAGCUUUCUCUGUCCUAACCUCUACAACCAUAGUCACCAAUGAUUUACUUAUUCUUAGACCCAGCCAUAACCUCACAUUUUCCAUGAAUCAGCUAGCCCCCUAUGGUUUCCUGCAAUGUUUCCUUUAUUUUCUAUUUCCUUAUGACAUUCUUUAAAUGAAUCUCCUUCUAUAAUUACCAUUUGACCCCUGGGCUUUUACUCUCCACAUUGCUACAAAAAAAAAAAAAAAAAAAAAAGUCCAGUUCUUUUUGCAAGACGCCAUUCCUUAUAUAUCUUUCCAUCUUCCAUAAUGCCUACAACAAGGGUGACCACAUCAUAAAUUAUUGGUAAAGAUUUCCUGGUUAUGCCAAGACAGAAAUCUAGCCUGCUUGGUAGUUACAUUUCUUUAGGCAAAAUAACAAAUUGACUUUCUGCUUUGAAUUAGGCAUAUUUAUGUCAACAGGAGGCCAAAUCACUGCUGGGUGAGUGACCCACUGCUAGGAAGAUGCCCAGACGCCAACUGGGAAAAGCUUGGCCAAGCCAAUCAGGUGCUGCCAGAGCCUUCUUUGUGAUAGCAAUGCCAACCCAUGAACUAAUACCCUCCUUUGGGAGAGAUGCUGACACGCCAAGGAAACUAAUGUUUUUAUCUCAGCUGACUCAUUUGCUGAGAACAACAGGUUUAUAAGGCAACUCUUAGCUUGACCCACUCUACUCCUCCAUCAAAAUAAAGAAAUAAAUAAAGUUUUCAAACUAAAGAGCAUUAAAGAAUGAUAACUUUUCUUUUUCUUGGUACUAUCUAUUGACCUAUACCUGGUUUUCACUGUAACACAUUUGUGGUAUGAAAAAUGACAAUAUGAUGUCAGAGAAAAUGAGAGAGACAUUUUAGAAUUUAUCAGAAUGUGACUAUGGUCACUUAAAGUCCAACUUUCUCAUGUGGGUUUCAGCCUGUGCUGGAAACAAAUAGCCUCUCUUACCUCUAAAGUACUUGGUUCUGUGCUCAAAGUGGCAUAUUAAGUUCUGCUGAUUACAUCAGAAUUUGGAUGGUGUCUCAGGAUCUCAGUUUCCUAUCAGUGGAAUAUGGAGUUGGGUUAGGCAUUAUUUAAGAUUCCCUCCAGUUCUACCCUGUUUGUUUUAAGGUUUCCUCUUAUAUUUUGUAACCUCUCUUCUACUGCUUUUUGGCAAGGUCUGGAAAAGAAAGGCUAUGAAGAUAGGCUUGAAGAUAGGGCCCACGUUACAAGGGAGAAAAAAAAAAAGACGAGGUCUCAUCAAAUCAACUCCAUACACACUAGCAAAAUUAGGGAAGGGAUGGAAGGGAAGGUGAAAUUAGGGUGAAAAUUCUGUUCAAUGCUUAGCAGAAUUGUGAAAGGCCAAAGUUGGCCUAGAACCCUGCCCAUACAAUUCCAAUGCCCCUACCACCAAGAAUUGUUUUUCUCCACCCUGGACUAGGCCUAUCCCUUGGGAAGAAUGACCACAGAAGAGGAAAGGAGGACAAUAGACAGAGCUGCGGAAAUGCCCCCCAAACUUGGUCUCGGCAUUGUAGACCUGCAGGCAUCUGUGCAGUGCAUGUUGGGGGUAAAGCCAAGUUGAACAUUAAUUGUUGUCAUCCAAGAGUCAAUAGCUUGAGAGAGUCUUUCUGCAGCUGCUUUGUACCUCUGAGCCUCCUCUCCCAUGGGAGAAAGCAUUGUGAGGCAGAGGGCAGCAUAGUCUCAUAGAACUUCACACCUAAGUUGGACAUGAAUUGUAAGCUAGGCUCUACCACAUUCACAUUCUGGGAAGGUCACCUCCCCUCUCUGGCUCUCAGAGCCAUAUAAUACAAGGAGAAGGUGGACUUGAUCUUUAACAUUCUUCCAAGUCAUAUACUUUGUUGUGCCACAGAUAAAUUAUCUGUUCAGCUCAGAACUGCAGGGUGGAGCGGAAGCGGAGACAAUGCUGACUGUUCUCUGUCAUCUCACCUCCAAUCCCUGCCCCUGUGCUUAGUCAGACAACCCAUCUGACUUAUUUCCUGGAAGCCUAUUCCCUUAUUUUAGCUCUUAUGGUAGAAAAAUCAGGACAGUGUGAGCCCUUCCAUGGGCCGUGCCAUUCAUAGAUACCCCUGUGAUUUGUGACUGCUUCUACCCAGAAAGCUCCUGGAGGCAUAUAUUUACCAAGCAAAGGACCCUUGAAGGAAGUAGCUGUUGUCCACACAAACCAUUAUGGGCCAGGGGGAUAUUAAUAAGAAGGAAUGUGUGCCAUCAGAAGCACUCAGCAUCUGCAGUAAACCAAAUCCUCCCUCUGUAGGUAUGGGUUGUCUAGAAGAGAAAUUUUCAUGCAUGACUCAGUUGCUUGCCAUGCAGUGCCAAAGAAACUUAAGGAACAGUGUUAGAAAAGGCUGAGAUCAUUGGCAAUUAAAUUGACCCUUCUACCUGGAUGUGUAUGGCUUAGAAACCAGAGCAUGCUGUAGUUCCAGCCUUGAGAAUUUUUGUGAGCAUAGCAAAUGGUCCCUUCACUUUAAGAAAGAUCAGAAAAAGAAGAUAUGACCUAAAUCAAAAGCAAAACAAGGCUAUAAUAGCAUUAUAUGACUUAGAUGCUAGACUCAAGUGACCAAGAGAAAUAUUUUUCCCAGGAGGAGGGAAAAUGCCUCUUUUAUAAAUUGAGAAGUGCGCUGUUCUCAUACGGGUCAGACAGUAGAACAUAAGGAUUUCUAUGCCACUGUUGCCUAAAGGAGAGAAUUUUUAAUGAGAAAUGUUUGUUGAGUCCUGUGAUUCCAUGAAGACUUCCUUCAGCAAGAGCAGAAUGGGACAAGGUCCCAUUCCAAAUGGAAACAAUUUGAGGGGUAUUUUAACUAUAAUCCUAAAUGAUGAUAACAAUUGCUUCCACUUAAUUAGAAUCAGUGCAAGAAAAAAGUGGAAUGGAGAUCACUUUACACAAGUAAAAAAGAGCUUUGUUAAAUUACAGUCCCCAAAGCCACUGCAUGGGAAGAACUGACUUGCCUUUCUAGGUGUCAGGUUUUCCUAUCAAUGCUGUAGCUCCAACUUCUUCCAAGAGGCCUGGCUUCUAGGAUCUUCCUUUCAGAAAUGGCCAAAAUGGGAUAAAUGGUGUAAAAAGAGUAGAUAAAGUACACUUCUUCAGAGUGAGUAUAGAAGCUGGGGACACCUGGAUCUAAGCUGGAAUAUCCUAAAAUCUUCCUUCAUUAUGGAUAACAGGAUGAUCUACACCUUGUUUAUGCCUCUAAGGAAAAAGAAAGGAGAAAAGAGUGAAUGAUGGAGAAGUGAAUGAGGAGCUGCCAGUGGUUUCUUAUCAGUAGCUCUCCUAGGGAAGGAUAAUGUCUCUGGCAUUGCUCCAGGUGUCUGACAACCUCUCUUCACCGAAAGAGGCCAUCAUCAUGACAACACGACCCUGCCGCCACUGUGUGGGGAUGAAUUUGGUUCUAGGUGAGUCCUGGAGGUCUUAGAGCUGGAAGGAGGUGUAGAGAUAUGGUGAUCAAUACUCUUUAUUCUUCAUGUGAAAGAUCUGAAGAUUGGAGAUAUUACUUGAUUUCCUUGGGACCAGAGAGGGUACAUGUGACAAAUGCUGAAUUUGAACUCAGAUCUCUUCAUUUCUAGUUAAGACCAUAUCCAAGGCGGGGGAUCACUUGAGGUCAGGAGUUCGAGACCAGCCUGGCCUAUAUGGUGAAACCCCGUCUCU